rnacentral:misc_RNA from 1 species
GCAGGCGGCGGUUCGCUGGGAGCGGCAGCCCGAUUACUACCACUCCUCGCCGAUCGCGCGCCGGGGCUUUUGCUCGAGCUGCGGGACCUCGCUGACUUUCGAGUAUCUGGAAGGCAGCGACAAGAUCGACUUGAUCGUCGGCACGUUCGAUGACCCCUCCCGCUUCGUGCCCACGGCCCACUUCGCCGCCGAGAGCAUCCACCAAGCGUGGCUUAACACCGAGGGGCUGCCGGAGACGCGCACCGAGGAUUAUCAGCCGCUCGUCGACCGCUGGACCCAGGCCGUUGGCAAGCUCCCCGACUGAGCACCGCUUCCGCACCUGGGACGGCGCCGAGCUCACGUGGCACGAGCUGGGGGAGGGGCCUGCGGUGCUCUCGCUCCACGGGCUUUUCUCGAGCGCGC